CCGAUGGCUCAGCUGGUUAGAGCGCCGCCCUGUCACGGCGGAGGUCGUGGGUUCGAACCCCAUUCG
rnacentral:tRNA from 1 species